rnacentral:rRNA from 1 species
UACGGGGGGAGCAAGCGUUGUUCGGAUUUACUGGGCGUAAAGGGCGCGUAGGCGGCCACCGCAAGUCGGUUGUGAAAUCUCUGGGCUUAACCCAGAAAGGUCAACCGAUACUGCGGGGCUAGAGUGCGGAAGGGGCAACUGGAAUUCUCGGUGUAGCGGUGAAAUGCGUAGAUAUCGGAAGGAACACCAGUGGCGAAAGCGGCUUCCUGGUCCAGCACCGACGUUCAGGCACGAAAGCGUGGGGAGCAAACAGG